GCAUCACUCUCAUUCACUCCAUCCUCUGUUUCCCUUCCCACGAGAGACCACCAUGAGAGCUGAGAGAUAGAGAGUCUGCUUCAGCUUCAGCCACCUCGUCGCCAGUGCGGAGACCCGUUCAGCUUCAGCCAGUGCGGCACUCACCACCGCAACCACACCAGUGCGCCACUCACCACCGCCAAGAAGCACAUCCAUCGAAGAUUCAAGUCGCCUCCUCGUCGCCUACUGGCUCCUGCUCGUCAGUCGUCAGUCGUCACCUCCGGUCUCCCUCUUCUCUGCUCGCCCCUCCAUCCCUCCAGGGUCCAGUCACAUAUAGCUUGAGUAAGGUGUCAGAGUUCAUAGCUCCAAUUAGGACUGUUAGAUUCACAAGGAUAUAAAACCAGAUUGUGAUUUGGUGUGUGGAAAACAGGUGACUUGGUAGUUUGUCCAUAAGGAACAACUUGUAGGGAGCCAUACCUAUUAAGAUUCAGCUCAUUGUUUGCUGUCUUGCUGAUGAAAUAGUUUCUGUGGCUAUGAAUGCUCAUGUCAGCAUGUUCUAUGGGACUACAGCGGCAGGCUUGAAGUGUUUGGAUCCCAUCUUUUUCUUCAUGAAUCCUCGGCCAUGUUACCACAUUCACAUUAUGUUUAUUUUCGUAUUACUACUUAUUUUUAGGAUUUGAGACUUAAUGUUUAUUAAAAUGUUAUUGGAGAUAUGUUUUUUAA